rnacentral:lncRNA from 1 species
CACGGGCAUGAGUAAUGGGAGUCUCUUUUCUUUUCUUCCCAUUCAAGAACAAGCCAGGACAAGUGAUUCUGGAAAAGGGGAGGGGACUGGCGAGGGGGAGAGGAUACUUACGCGGUGCAGAGGGCAGUGGGACCGAGCGUGGUUUUGCCGGCAGGGAGAGGAGAACACGCGCGCGCACACACGCGGCGGUGUCUUGCGGGUGAUGAAUGUGAUAAUUGGACCGGGGCCGACACAGCUGAAGGAAACAGGAAGACUGCACGUCACAGUCUGACUGACGUACCCGGCCCCAGCACCCAAUCGCGAGGCGCCUUCGGAUUCAAGGGGGGAUAGCGAGGCAAGAGAACUUGGGAGGAAAAAAAAAUAUAAAAGGGGUGGGGGGUGAGGGGCUGGGAGGAGAGGAGGGGAGAGGGGCCCCGCGCUCCCCCUCCCCCGCCUCCAUCCCCGGCCCCCACCCCCGCCCCCGCCCUGCCACCGCUUCGGG